AUGCCGAAGCUGCAGAAGUACAGAGGAGUGAGGCAGAGGCACUGGGGCUCCUGGGUCUCCGAGAUCCGCCAUCCUCUCCUGAAGAAGACUAGGGUCUGGCUUGGCUCGUAUGAGACGGCGGAGGACGCGGCACGGGCGUACGACGAGGCGGCGCAGCUCAUGAGCGGGCCCACGGCGCGCACCAACUUCCCCUCCGGCGCCCCCGUCGGCGGCAGCCUGUCCCCUGCCCUGCGUGCCAAGGUGGAGAAAUGCUGCAUGCCGACGGCGAAGGGCGCCGAGAUGACCGGGGCGGCCAUGGCUAGAGGCUACGACGCCCGCCAAAACAAGCUCGAGGACAUCAUCAAAGUCGUGGAUGAGGAGGAGUGCAUCGAGGAGAUGAUCAGGGAGCUCACCCACUACGGCUCUAUGGAGAUCGUCCUCUCCCCCGCCUGCUCCAGCAGUCCAGCUCCGUAA
rnacentral:rRNA from 1 species